UGGGGAAUCUUAGACAAUGGGCGCCAAGNNGAUCUAGCGAUGCCGCGUGAGUGACGAAGGCCUUAGGGUCGUAAAGCUCUUUCGCCAGGGAUGAUAAUGACAGUACCUGGUAAAGAAACCCCGGCUAACUCCGUG
rnacentral:rRNA from 1 species